rnacentral:lncRNA from 13 species
CCCUGACUGAUGUGGAAAGGACCGCAUGAGAGUAUGUUUCAAGGAGGCCAGAACCAUCGGCAGUCACCUGGGAGACGGGGAUCACAGACAGAGAGAGACAAGACAUUGUAUGGAAACUAUGAAAAACCCAAAACAAAGAGGAGCCCGGUAUCACACACCAAAAAAGUCGCAGAAUGGAGACUUAACCUCCUCUUGGCUGUAAGGAUGUACUGUGGCCCACCUCACAACUGCUUUUCCUAAAGCCCUGCUUUUAUUUUAUGUAGCCCUGAGAGAGAAAGACAAAAUCUGCCAAGUUCUAUGACAGAACGCUUUCUUACACGUGAGAAUAUUUGUAUGUACUGAAAUAAUUCUUUCAGCCUUUUCCUCAGCAGGCUCUCGCUCUGAUGCUCAGGCUGGAGUGCAAGUGGCACAAUCACAGCUCACUGCAGCCUCAGCCUCCGAGGCUCAGGCCAUCCUCCCACCUCAGCCUCCUGAGUUGCUGGCACUACAGGUGCACAUCACUAGCCUGGCUCAUUUUUUAAUUUUUUGUAGAGAAGAGGUCUCAUUAUGUUGCCCAAGCUAAUCUCAAACUCCUGGGCUCAAGCAAUCCUCCCACCUCAGCCUCCCAAAGUGCUGGGAUUACAGGUGUAAACCAAUGAGCCACCACACUUGGCCUUUUAAACUAAUUGAUAGAUCAUUUUGCCAUAGAUUUCUCUUCAGCAUAUAGGAAAAGGACACACGUGUCCUAAGACUUGCUUCCUUACAGAACCCGAUGCUUCUGUGUCACUUUUGAACUAGAGCCAGUUGCGUCCCCUGAAGAGCGUUGGGGAUACGGGAUUUAUUUGGAUGUGCUCCAGUAUCAUCUGUGAGGUUUCCUGCCAAGGCGUUCACAUUCAUUCACGUCGGCACUGCCGCUGCAUUGCCCCUACCACAAAAUGUCAACGGAAGGUCCUCAGACAAUAGCCAGAACUCCUGCCCCUCACAGGUGGCCCUCACAUGGCUCGCUGAAAUGAGGGGCUGCCAUCAUCCACCCAGCCAUUGGGUCAGUUCACG